rnacentral:rRNA from 1 species
AACGAACGCUGGCGGCAGGCUUAACACAUGCAAGUCGAACGCAUCCUUUUAGGGUGAGUGGCAGACGGGUGAGUAACGCGUGGGAACGUGCCCUUCAGUUCGGGAUAACCCAGGGAAACUUGGGCUAAUACCGGAUACGUGCGAGAGCAGAAAGAUUUAUCGCUGAAGGAUCGGCCCGCGUCUGAUUAGCUAGUUGGUGGGGUAAUGGCCCACCAAGGCGACGAUCAGUAGCUGGUCAGAGAGGAUGAUCAGCCACAUUGGGACUGAGACACGGCCCAAACUCCUACGGGAGGCAGCAGUGGGGAAUAUUGGACAAUGGGCGAAAGCCUGAUCCAGCCAUGCCGCGUGAGUGAUGAAGGCCUUAGGGUUGUAAAGCUCUUUCAGUGGGGAAGAUAAUGACGGUACCCACAGAAGAAGCCCCGGCUAACCUCGUGCCAGCCGCCGCGGUAAAAC